AUACGGAGGACGCGAGCGUUAUCCGGAUUCAUUGGGUUUAAGGGUGCGCAGGCGGCCGUGCAAGUCAGCGGUGAAAGCCCGGGGCUCAACCCCGGAAGUGCCGUUGAUACUGCGUGGCUGGAAUGCGGUCGAGGCGGGCGGAACGUGGCGUGUAGCGGGGAAAUGCGUAGAUAUGCCACAAAACGCCGAUAGCGGAGGCAGCUCGCCAGGCCUGCAUUGACGCUCGGGCACGAAAGCGUGGGGAUCGAACAGGAUUAGAUACCCUGGUAGUCCACGCCGUAAACGAUGGGCGCUCGUCGUCGGCGACAGACAGUCGGCGGCCAAGCGAAAGCGAUAAGCGCCCCACCUGGGGAGUACGGUCGCAAGGCUGAAACUCAAAUGAAUUGACGGGG
rnacentral:rRNA from 1 species